rnacentral:rRNA from 1 species
UACAGAGGUCUCAAGCGUUGUUCGGAUUCAUUGGGCGUAAAGGGUGUGUAGGCGGACCCGUAAGUCAGGGGUGAAAGUCGGCGGCUUAACCGUUGGAUUGCCUUUGAUACUGCGGGUCUUGAGUCCUGGAGGGGCCACUAGAAUUCGUGGUGUAGCGGUGAAAUGCGUAGAUAUCACGAGGAAUACCAGAGGCGUAGGCGAGUGGCUGGACAGGAACUGACGCUGAGGCACGAAAGCGUGGGGAGCGAACAGG